rnacentral:rRNA from 1 species
AGUGAACGCUGGCGGUAGGCCUAACACAUGCAAGUCGAACGGCAGCACAGUAAGAGCUUGCUCUUGCGGGUGGCGAGUGGCGGACGGGUGAGGAAUACAUCGGAAUCUACUUUUUCGUGGGGGAUAACGUAGGGAAACUUACGCUAAUACCGCAUACGACCUACGGGUGAAAGCAGGGAUCUUCGGACCUUGCGCGAUUGAAUGAGCCGAUGUCGGAUUAGCUAGUUGGCGGGGUAAAGGCCCACCAAGGCGACGAUCCGUAGCUGGUCUGAGAGGAUGAUCAGCCACACUGGAACUGAGACACGGUCCAGACUCCUACGGGAGGCAGCAGUGGGGAAUAUUGGACAAUGGGCGCAAGCCUGAUCCAGCCAUACCGCGUGGGCGAAGAAGGCCUUCGGGUUGUAAAGCCCUUUUGUUGGGAAAGAAAAGCAGCAGGUUAAUACCCCGCUGUUCUGACGGUACCCAAAGAAUAAGCACCGGCUAACUUCGUG